AAUAUUGUACAAUGGGCGAAAGCCUGAUCCAGCCAUGCCGCUUGUGUGAAGAAGGUCUUCGGAUUGUAAAGCACUUUACUUUGGGAGGAAGGGUUGUAGGUUAAUACCCUGCAAUUUUGACGUUACCAACAGAAUAAGCACCGGCUAACUUCGUGCCAGCGGCCGCGGUAAUACGAAGGGUGCAAGCGUUAAUCGGAAUUACUGGGCGGAAAGCGGGCGUAGGUGGUUGGUUAAGGUGGAAGUGAAAGCCCCGGGCUUAACCUGGGAAUUGCGUUCAAAACUGGCGAGCUAGAGUACGGUAGAGGGUAGUGGAAUUUCCUGUGUAGCGGUGAAAUGCGUAGAUAUAGGAAGGAACAUCAGUGGCGAAGGCGACUACCUGGACUGAUACUGACACUGAGGUGCGAAAGCGUGGGGAGCAAAC
rnacentral:rRNA from 1 species